AUACAACCCCGCAUAUGCGGGGUUUUUUUUGUCCCCGACCAGGGUUCGAUUCGAGCGUAGCGAGAAAGCGUUGCCGCAGGCAACGACCCGAAGGGCGAAGCGCGAAGCGCUGAGUAAUCC
rnacentral:sRNA from 1 species